UGUUAAUGAUGUGGACAAUCCCGAAGAAGGGCCUUGAACCUCUCCCAUUCAUGAUAUAAAUUCUCUUCUAGCUUCUGGUUAAAGCACAAAAUCUUAUUGUGUAGUCU
rfam:Capsicum annuum cultivar Zunla-1 chromosome 3, whole genome shotgun sequence